rnacentral:rRNA from 1 species
UACGGAGGGUGCAAGCGUUGCUCGGAAGUCAUUGGGCGUAAAGCGUACGCAGGCUGUUCGUUAAGUCGGGUGUGAAAGCCCGGGGCUCAACCCGAACGGCGCCCGAAACUGGCGAGCUUGAAUGCGGGAGAGGGAAGCGGAAUUCCUGGUGUAGAGGUGAAAUUCGUAGAUAUCAGGAGGAACACCGGUGGCGAAAGCGGCUUCCUGGCCCGACAUU